rnacentral:rRNA from 1 species
GGUUAAGCGACUAAGCGUACACGGUGGAUGCCCUGGCAGUCAGAGGCGAUGAAGGACGUGCUAAUCUGCGAAAAGCGUCGGUAAGGUGAUAUGAACCGUUACAGCCGGCGAUGUCCGAAUGGGGAAACCCAGUGCAAUUCGUUGCACUAUCGUUAACUGAAUACAUAGGUUAACGAGGCGAACCGGGGGAACUGAAACAUCUAAGUACCCCGAGGAAAAAAAAUCAACCGAGAUUCCCCCAGUAGCGGCGAGCGAACGGGGAGCAGCCCAGAGUCUGAAUCAGCUUGUGUGUUAGUGGAACGGUCUGGAAAGUCCGACGGUACAGGGUGAUAGUCCCGUACACCAAAAUGCACAGGCUGUGAACUCGAAGAGUAGGGCGGGACACGUGGUAUCCUGUCUGAAUAUGGGGGGACCAUCCUCCAAGGCUAAAUACUCCUGACUGACCGAUAGUGAACCAGUACCGUGAGGGAAAGGCGAAAAGAACCCCGGCGAGGGGAGUGAAAAAGAACCUGAAACCGUGUACGUACAAGCAGUGGGAGCACCUUCGGGUGUGACUGCGUACCUUUUGUAUAAUGGGUCAGCGACUUAUAUUCUGUAGCAAGGUUAACCGUAUAGGGGAGCCGCAGGGAAACCGAGUCUUAACUGGGCGUUAAGUUGCAGGGUAUAGACCCGAAACCCGGUGAUCUAGCCAUGGGCAGGUUGAAGGUUGGGUAACACUAACUGGAGGACCGAACCGACUAAUGUUGAAAAAUUAGCGGAUGACUUGUGGCUGGGGGUGAAAGGCCAAUCAAACCGGGAGAUAGCUGGUUCUCCCCGAAAGCUAUUUAGGUAGCGCCUCGUGAAUUCAUCUUCGGGGGUAGAGCACUGUUUCGGCUAGGGGGUCAUCCCGACUUACCAACCCGAUGCAAACUACGAAUACCGAAGAAUGUUAUCACGGGAGACACACGGCGGGUGCUAACGUCCGUCGUGAAGAGGGAAACAACCCAGACCGCCAGCUAAGGUCCCAAAGUCAUGGUUAAGUGGGAAACGAUGUGGGAAGGCACAGACAGCCAGGAUGUUGGCUUAGAAGCAGCCAUCAUUUAAAGAAAGCGUAAUAGCUCACUGGUCGAGUCGGCCUGCGCGGAAGAUGUAACGGGGCUAAACCAUGCACCGAAGCUGCGGCAGCGACACUAUGUGUUGUUGGGUAGGGGAGCGUUCUGUAAGCCUGCGAAGGUGACCUGUGAGGGUUGCUGGAGGUAUCAGAAGUGCGAAUGCUGACAUAAGUAACGAUAAAGCGGGUGAAAAGCCCGCUCGCCGGAAGACCAAGGGUUCCUGUCCAACGUUAAUCGGGGCAGGGUGAGUCGACCCCUAAGGCGAGGCCGAAAGGCGUAGUCGAUGGGAAACAGGUUAAUAUUCCUGUACUUGGUGUUACUGCGAAGGGGGGACGGAGAAGGCUAUGUUAGCCGGGCGACGGUUGUCCCGGUUUAAGCAUGUAGGCUGGUUAUCCAGGCAAAUCCGGAUAAUCAAGGCUGAGGUGUGAUGACGAGGCACUACGGUGCUGAAGUAACAAAUGCCCUGCUUCCAGGAAAAGCCUCUAAGCAUCAGGUAACAUCAAAUCGUACCCCAAACCGACACAGGUGGUCAGGUAGAGAAUACCAAGGCGCUUGAGAGAACUCGGGUGAAGGAACUAGGCAAAAUGGUGCCGUAACUUCGGGAGAAGGCACGCUGGUGUGUAGGUGAAGUCCCUGCGGAUGGAGCUGAGACCAGUCGAAGAUACCAGCUGGCUGCAACUGUUUAUUAAAAACACAGCACUGUGCAAACACGAAAGUGGACGUAUACGGUGUGACGCCUGCCCGGUGCCGGAAGGUUAAUUGAUGGGGUUAUCCGUAAGGAGAAGCUCUUGAUCGAAGCCCCGGUAAACGGCGGCCGUAACUAUAACGGUCCUAAGGUAGCGAAAUUCCUUGUCGGGUAAGUUCCGACCUGCACGAAUGGCGUAAUGAUGGCCAGGCUGUCUCCACCCGAGACUCAGUGAAAUUGAACUCGCUGUGAAGAUGCAGUGUACCCGCGGCAAGACGGAAAGACCCCGUGAACCUUUACUAUAGCUUGACACUGAACAUUGAGCCUUGAUGUGUAGGAUAGGUGGGAGGCUUUGAAGCGUGGACGCCAGUCUGCGUGGAGCCAACCUUGAAAUACCACCCUUUAAUGUUUGAUGUUCUAACGUUGGCCCCUGACCGGGGUUGCGGACAGUGUCUGGUGGGUAGUUUGACUGGGGCGGUCUCCUCCCAAAGCGUAACGGAGGAGCACGAAGGUUAGCUAAUCCUGGUCGGACAUCAGGAGGUUAGUGCAAUGGCAUAAGCUAGCUUGACUGCGAGCGUGACGGCGCGAGCAGGUGCGAAAGCAGGUCAUAGUGAUCCGGUGGUUCUGAAUGGAAGGGCCAUCGCUCAACGGAUAAAAGGUACUCCGGGGAUAACAGGCUGAUACCGCCCAAGAGUUCAUAUCGACGGCGGUGUUUGGCACCUCGAUGUCGGCUCAUCACAUCCUGGGGCUGAAGUAGGUCCCAAGGGUAUGGCUGUUCGCCAUUUAAAGUGGUACGCGAGCUGGGUUUAGAACGUCGUGAGACAGUUCGGUCCCUAUCUGCCGUGGGCGCUGGAGAAUUGAGGGGGGCUGCUCCUAGUACGAGAGGACCGGAGUGGACGCAUCACUGGUGUUCGGGUUGUCAUGCCAAUGGCACUGCCCGGUAGCUAAAUGCGGAAGAGAUAAGUGCUGAAAGCAUCUAAGCACGAAACUUGCCCCGAGAUGAGUUCUCCCUGAGACUUUAAGUCUCCUGAAGGAACGUUAAAGACGAUGACGUUGAUAGGCCGGGUGUGUAAGCGCAGCGAUGCGUUGAGCUAACCGGUACUAAUGAACCGUGAGGCUUAACCUU